rnacentral:rRNA from 1 species
AUUUGACGUUACCUACAGAAGAAGCACCGGCUAACUCCGUGCCAGCAGCCGCGGUAAUACGGAGGGUGCGAGCGUUAAUCGGAAUUACUGGGCGUAAAGCGCAUGCAGGUGGUUCAUUAAGUCAGAUGUGAAAGCCCGGGGCUCAACCUCGGAACCGCAUUUGAAACUGGUGAACUAGAGUGCUGUAGAGGGGGGUAGAAUUUCAGGUGUAGCGGUGAAAUGCGUAGAGAUCUGAAGGAAUACCAGUGGCGAAGGCGGCCCCCUGGACAGACACUGACACUCAGAUGCGAAAGCGUGGGGAGCAAACAGGAUUAGAUACCCUGGUAGUCCACGCCGUAAACGAUGUCUACUUGGAGGUUGUUCCCUUGAGGAGUGGCUUUCGGAGCUAACGCGUUAAGUAGACCGCCUGGGGAGUACGGUCGCAAGAUUAAAACUCAAAUGAAUUGACGGGGGCCCGCACAAGCGGUGGAGCAUGUGGUUUAAUUCGAUGCAACGCGAAGAACCUUACCUACUCUUGACAUCCAGAGAAUUCGCUAGAGAUAGCUUAGUGCCUUCGGGAACUCUGAGACAGGUGCUGCAUGGCUGUCGUCAGCUCGUGUUGUGAAAUGUUGGGUUAAGUCCCGCAACGAGCGCAACCCUUAUCCUUGUUUGCCAGCACGUAAUGGUGGGAACUCCAGGGAGACUGCCGGUGAUAAACCGGAGGAAGGUGGGGACGACGUCAAGUCAUCAUGGCCCUUACGAGUAGGGCUACACACGUGCUACAAUGGCGCAUACAGAGGGCUGCAAGCUAGCGAUAGUGAGCGAAUCCCAAAAAGUGCGUCGUAGUCCGGAUUGGAGUCUGCAACUCGACUCCAUGAAGUCGGAAUCGCUAGUAAUCGUAGAUCAGAAUGCUACGGUGAAUACGUUCCCGGGCCUUGUACACACCGCCCGUCACACCAUGGGAGUGGGCUGCAAAAGAAGUGGGUAGUUUAACCUUCGGGAGGACGCUCACCACUUUGUGGUUCAUGACUGGGGUGAAGUCGUAACAAGGUAGCCCUAGGGGAACCUGGGGCUGGAUCACCUCCUUAAACGAUAGAU